rnacentral:rRNA from 1 species
UACGUAGGGUGCGAGCGUUGUCCGGAAUUACUGGGCGUAAAGAGCUCGUAGGUGGUUUGUCGCGUUGUCCGUGAAAACUCACAGCUCAACUGUGGGCGUGCGGGCGAUACGGGCAGACUGGAGUACUGCAGGGGAGACUGGAAUUCCUGGUGUAGCGGUGGAAUGCGCAGAUAUCAGGAGGAACACCGGUGGCGAAGGCGGGUCUCUGGACCGACACUGACGCUGAGGCGCGAAAGCUAGGGGAGCAAACGGG